AUGGCGGAUGAUUCGAUCCGGGUGAGUCCUAAUCUCAAAUAACCUAUGGCGCAAUUAAGUUAGGGAUUGAAGGAGGAAGGAGGAAGGAGGAAGGAGAUGGAUGAUUGAGAUUAUAGGCAAAGGCAAACUCAGAUCGAGAUUCGGGGGAGGAGCGUCCAAGUUUUCUCUCUAUCUAUCAGGUUAGGUUUUUGAUGGGUUUUCUUUCACAACAGGGAUAACAUUUGUUUUAUAUACACAGCGUUCAGCGUCAGGGGCUCUUUCGUACUUUUCCUUAUUCACUUUUGCGUAAACCUGCAGCCAACGCUUCUCUUUGUCUAUUAAAAUUCCAUUUUUCUCAUUUGGUUAAGAUUCUCAACAAAUUAGAGAUGAUCACAAAACCUUAUCAUCAACAAGUAAUAUUUUUUUUUUAAAUCUCUUAUAUAUAUUACUAAAAAAAAUAAGCAUUGUUAUCUGAUGCUUUCACUCUGCAUAUAUAUAUAUAUAUAUAUAUAUAAUCAAUUAUACAUACACAAAUGUAUUAUUAUUAUUUAUUUGAUGAGAAUUUUGUUUACAAAAUAUUUACGGAUUAAAAAUAUUUUUCAUUUUCUUUUCAAAACAAAAGUUCCCAGUUAUUUAAUUUUAAAGUGGGGAAUCAAUAUUUUAAUUUUAAUUUCUUCAUUUUUCCUAAUGUUAGUUUGACGUUAUACAUAUUCAAUUUUAUACAAUUUUAUAAAUAUAUAGUUACAAACAUAAGAUGAAUCUAUACUAUUAAAAGAGAAUCAUUCCCAAAAAUCUACUUAUAAAAAGUUGUUGCACCCUUUUAUUAACUAAUUAUUUUGGUCAUACCUUAUAUUUUUCUAACUAUAUAACAUUCAAUGCAUUUAAUUAAUCCUAACAGCUUUUAAUUAGUACUCGACUAACUUAGCUUUUAAUUAUUACUCGACUAAUUUUUGUGGACCAAGUUUACAAAUCAUCUUUUGGAUGUAUACUAAGUGGACCAAAGAAUUAUACAUAUGUACAAAUCCAAUAUACUAAAAUAUCAUCAUCUCUAAACUUGUCUCAUGAUGUAUCCCAAUAUACCAAAACUAUAUUGUUUAUUUAAUCAGCUCUUAAAAUCUGAAAUCUCUGAAAGUAUAUAAUAAUAACAUGCAAACUUUAAUUUUUGGGUAUUCGAGUAUAUGUUUUGGUAUUUUCGAAUAUUUAGGAUUCGGAAAUAUCUAAAAAUAUUCAAUUAGCAAAACAAUUAUCCAAAUUCUGAUAUGAGGACUCGAAACAACCAAAACAUUUCCCCGAAUAUCCAAAUUAUAUUUAUGAAAAUAUGAAAUUUUACCCUAAACUCGAAACCAUAACCACAAACUCUAACCCAAAACAUAAAAAGUAUUCGUAAUACCAAAAGUAUACUAUAAUACUCAAAUAUAACUAAUAUAUACGAGAAAUUUUGGGUAUUUCAAAUAUCUGAUGGGGUCUUGGGUAGGACAUAGACCCGAAACAAGACCUGUAGGUCAAAUAUUUUUACCUAAUAGAUAUUUUAGCCUAGACUUGAAUGGAGCCUGUAAUUUUUGGUUUUUUCUGAUUCAGAUUUUGUGAGAGUAAAAUGAUCAAGCACAUGAAAAACUAACAUGUAUUUAUAUCUUUUUAAUUAUAUUUUAUAGAAUAAACCCGUGCUUUCAAGCCCGGUCAACCAACAUAAAUGAAAAGAACGAAAUUUUACAUUUUCACCUUACUAGUUACUAGAAAACAAAAAGAAUAGUUAGUUCAAUUUAGAGGAACUGUUGCAACUAAAUAUCUUUUAAAAAAUAAUUAAUCAUUUUUUUCUCAAUUCUUAUACCUAAAACUAUGCUAGAAAUAAUUAAUCUUUGGUUGAUGCAAUUCUAAUUAAAUUAACACUUGGUUUUUAUUUUUCUACUUUUUCCUAUAAAUAUAUAAUUAAUUAUACACAUGUUAUAAAAUAUAUCUAUAAAAUACUAGGAUGAAUCAAAUUAAAUAUAUAUAUAUAUAUAUAUAUCUGAUUUUAGUUUAUUUAAAAACAACAUAAAUUGUGAUCUAAUUGGAAAAUAAAUACAAACUAAUAUAUCAAAAAGAAAAACUGAACCAAUCUUAAUUAUUAUACAUGAAAUCACAUAAUUAAUUGAGAUAAUUUAAAUACAUUAUUCUAUUUACUUUUCAUAUGUUUAGAAUAUAAAAUGGUUUAAAAUUUAUCAACAAAUACAAAUAACAGAUUAAUUAAUUAUAGUUGAUUAUUUUAUAAAUAUUUAUACAUGUGUAUGAACAUGGAAUAAUCACCUCGUAUAAAAUUGAUUGUAAAGCAAUUAUGAAGACAAUUCUCCUCAUCCCUUUGGCUCCGAUACUCGAGGAACGAUAUUACUCCGGAGUAUAAUUGUUCUUGUUUGUUGGAAAAUCGGAGAGUUUAUUCACCUUAUUUUGGUUAACGGAGCAUUAUGACCACAAAACCACUGUUUAUGUUGGGUUUACGCAAAACCAUUGGAUUGGGCAUCAAUACAAAAAUGUGGAGUGGAUCAUGGGUUUCAGAUUCGAAAGCCUCCGACCUUGUCGCUUAGCGACACCCCUCGGCUCCUUGUUCUUUCUUUUAUUAGACUAGUUAUUAAGACGUAAGUUAUUUUUCUUUUACAUGAAUUCUGUCAUCUAGAGGAUAUAGUUUCGAUCCUUAGCGUGAAUUUUGAAACCUAGUUGUUAUUGGUACGUAGACAAGCAAGCGUGGAACCAUAGAAUGAGUUUCAUAUCACAGAGCAGAAUCACAGCCAAACAAUAAAAUCAACGGAUGCAUAACAAUUACGGAGUCGAAUGAUCGGAAUUUACAAGGAAUGGUGAAGACGAAAGGUAGAGAGACCAACAAAAAAAAUUCAGAACCAAAGUUUAUUUAUACCAGCCCUAUACCCACACAAAUUCUUGAUAUUCCCUCAGGAUUAGACAAGCAUAUCACCAAAGUAUAAAUAAAAAAGACAAGGAAAGGAAACAUUUUGUUUUUCUGACUUGACUUGGGGACUCUACACAGCAAAUACAAUGCAACAGCGUUUCUCUUCUGUUGAUCAUCUCUCCUCUACUUGUUGCGUUUAUAUUGAUAGUCCUUCUCCUCCCCCAACUGCCCUACUUGUUUCUCAUUAGAAGACAUCCGGAUUGAAUCUUUGCGGCAUCAUAUAGUUGCCGUGUUCCAUUUGCUCCAGUUGCAAUUUCAAUGCGUAGUUAUUCACCUGCAUUUUGUAAUUAUCAUUCCACUCUUUAACCACAGGAGACCAUCAAAACUAGGGAACUUUCACCAAUAUUGCUCAUUAAAAAAAAAAAAAAAAAUUAAAUUCAGGAUGUGAAUAUUCAACAUAUAUAUGGCUAUGCAACCAUCAGUAUAUAAAAGUAGUAUGUCUAUGGUUUGUUUAAGGCUUACCUCCAAAUUUCUAACCUUCUCCUGGUACUGAGGAAUCAGCUGCUUAAAAAACUCUAGCUGCUGGUUCGCAUCUUCUAACGCCUUCUGCCGCUCAUGCUGGAUAGCAACAGCACGUUUCAGCACUGUGUUGUCCUUCAUCAAGGCUUCCACUUGUUGCUGCAUUGCCACACUCUCCUGCAAAAUCAGAAGAGGGUGUUAAUUUAACCCAAAAAAAAAUGACAAGGACAAUCUUCCUUGGUACUACAAUACAAAAUUGUGUUCUGAGCCAGUAACUUGUAGUCAAUGAUGGUUCAAAACUACUACGUCUUAACAACAACACUGACUGAACUAGAAACUGUCCUUCAUGCGUCGAACUAACUACCCGAGGCCCUCCCUAAUACAAACUAUACGAUAGCUUAAAAGGAGGACAGUACAAUGGCAUUAUACCUCUUGGAAUUUUUUACCGGCUUCUUCGUGAGCACGUGCGCUUAACGUCUUCUCUAACGCCUCCAAGACUCUUUCAGCACGGAACUUCGCAUCAUCUGGACCGGCAGAUUGCGUCACUUCCCUCACUAACAACGCAACCCAGUCAUCACCACUCGCUGCAGCAUCAGUCUCCUUAUUAGCGGCCAAUUCUUGAGCUCUCUUCUCCUCCUCAGCGGAUACCAAAGCGUACAAGCUUUUCAUAGCAGCAUUCAAAUCACUCCCAUGUUCUUCCAACGCCUCCACAAGAACCUGAUUUUUUAAAAAAAAAAACUUCCGAAUCUAAUUAAAUUUCAAGAAUUGCCAACCGAUUAAGCCACGAAUAAUGCUGCUAAACUCAAUCUAACAUACUUAAUUAGCGUCUAAUCAAUCGGAUUGAGCAAAAGGUAAAGCUAGAUCGAAAGGAACAAAGACAUACGGUGAGUUCAAGAUGAGGAAAGGCAGCGCGAAGCUGAUCGAGCGAUGAGGGAGGAGAGGAAGACCAGCUCGGAGAAUUGGAAGGGGAAUAGCAUCGGAACCGCUUCGAAGAGGGAGGAGGAGAAGGAGUAUCGUCGAAGUACGAUCUCUUACUUCCGCAAUAUACGGCAGACAUGGCGGAUGAUUCGAUCCGGGUGAGUCCUAAUCUCAAAUAACCUAUGGCGCAAUUAAGUUAGGGAUUGAAGGAGGAAGGAGGAAGGAGGAAGGAGAUGGAUGAUUGAGAUUAUAGGCAAAGGCAAACUCAGAUCGAGAUUCGGGGGAGGAGCGUCCAAGUUUUCUCUCUAUCUAUCAGGUUAGGUUUUUGAUGGGUUUUCUUU
rnacentral:lncRNA from 1 species